rnacentral:rRNA from 1 species
UACGUAGGGUGCAGGCGUUGUCCGGAAUUAUUGGGCGUAAAGAGCUCGUAGGCGGUCUGUCGCGUCGGCUGUGAAAACCCGGAGCUCAACUCCGGGCCUGCAGUCGAUACGGGCAAACUGGAGUACUGCAGGGGAGACUGGAAUUCCUGGUGUAGCGGUGAAAUGCGCAGAUAUCAGGAGGAACACCGGUGGCGAAGGCGACUCUUUGGCCUGUAACUGACACUGAGGCG